rnacentral:rRNA from 1 species
UCAGUAGCGAGGUUAACCGUAUAGGGGAGCGGUAGAGAAAUCGAGUCUUAAUAGGGCGUUUAGUUGCUGGGUAUAGUCCCGAAACCAGGCGAUCUAUCCAUGAGCAGGUUGAAGGUUGGGUAACACUAACUGGAGGACCGAACCCACUGUCGUUGAAAAGCCAGGGGAUGACUUGUGGAUAGGGGUGAAAGGCUAAUCAAGCCUGGUGAUAGCUGGUUCUCCCCGAAAGCUAUUUAGGUAGCGCCUCGGACGAAUACCAUAGGGGGUAGAGCACUGUUUCGGCUAGGGGGUCAUCCCGACUUACCAAACCGAUGCAAACUCCGAAUACCUAUGAGUACUAUCCGGGAGACAGACUGCGGGUGCUAACGUCCGUAGUCAAGAGGAAAAC